AAACACCGACCACAGCCACUUCCCUGCGAAGUAAGCCAACCAAGUACGUCCCACGGUCCUGGUUAGCCAUUUGCCGAAAGAGAAUCAGGCUAUUAGUUUCAGAUCCGUAUCCUUGAGAACUCAUCCUCACGGAAAUCCAGCAGUCCGGGGGGAGCCCUCAAAAUGGGACGCCCGAGUCCAGGAGGACGACAAACUGACAGGAUCGGAAUGGCAGCCCCAGGGGGCCCUGUGCAAGAGCUGGUACAGUUCUUGCCAUUCUCUGGAAGACAGCUGAGAAGUAGGAGGUGCUCGCUGGAAGCAGGGCCGACGCCCCGUCUCUCCCACACGGCGCCCCUGGAGUGGGGCCAGUCAUCACGCCCACACCACAGACAAGGCUGGCACCCCACUCCCACACCUGCAACGCACGACUCCCAGGGUCACCCGGGGCCCCUCGCGGCCCGAGACACGUCCCGUGAAUCCCGAGCAAAUGAGACCCCCGGGUAUUGGUGGAAGUGGUUAGGAUUCCUUACGUCUCACUGUGUCGGGCUUGCAAAGGCCGAUUCUGGGUCUUUCUGAUUCUGGAUCAGCUACUGCUGACGGCCAAGUUCUAAGCAGAAAUAUCUUCACGGAUGAGCAUGCAGGGAAGCAUCCCCCGACAAGGCUGUGCCCCCCCGCACCCAGAACCCACGUCUGCUGUUUGAACGAGGGGGGACGUGCUGCCGCAGCUGAUAGACAACAGGCAAACGUGACCACCCGUGGGCUUCACCUGUUCGCACAGGCAGGCAGCACACAGUGGCCACAUGCACGCCCCCCAAAACACUUGCGGGAAAACGAAAGCAAUUCACGCAGAAGCAAGAGGUUUACAUAAACAACCUGAAUGCCAAGAAACUUUAAACUGAAAGACUUCUCUCUUCUGGAAAUUCAAUAAGCCUUUGUCACUUCAAUAAAUACAAGCAGGUGCGUCUCGU